CACUCUAGUUGGCACAACAAUUAAAGAAGAGAGAUAGAAAUGUCCAUAAAGUUAGUGGAAAGCAAAAUAAGUGUGCUGCCACCCCACUACCUAUUGCUCCCCACCUAUUCAAACCACCUCCACCAUCUCGAUUCUUUAAGGCUACUAAGCCAACACUCCUUCAAGCAAACAAUUCAGCAGCAACCUACCUCCAUUCAUUCUUUACUCACCUGUAUUUGUUAAAGUAGCAACCUUAUUUCAGUUCAUCUCAUACAAAUCAACAACAACAGCCAUCAACAACAAACAAUUACAGGUCAAGCGCAAGAGUAAGAACUACACAAGGAGUUAGAGUACCUUAGCAAAACUUUGCUAUCAGGUUGAGUUGUGAUGGGCGAUGAAGUGUUGCUGAGUGGAGUUUUUGUUGAACUUAAAGUAGGCUCAGAAAGGAUACAUGUCUUCAUACAUGUAUCUCAGUUAUGAUUCCGCUGUAAACACUGAUUAUUUCAGUUACACCUUCCGUUGCAAACUCUGAUAAUGUUUUAGCCAAGCCCCUAACGAUGCCUUUUUCCUUUUAAGGAAUAUAACGCUUAUACAAGUUCGUUGAGUACCCUUUUUAUGCGAACUAUGCCUUUUUCCUUUUUAAGGAAUA